GUCCAGGUUUUAAUCAGCAUGCCAAUCCUACCUGCACUGCAGCCUCACCCAGCAAAUGCUUAAGCCUGGACCGCUUCCCCCACUGUUACCUCUGUGAACGUGCUGCCAUUCAUCCUAUCUGAUGUGCUGUAACCUCUCAGCUGAUGAACCUGCCCACUCCCAUAUAUUUGCCACCAGGCUAAGUAGACAUCUGAGAAGGGAUAAAUUCCCUCUGGAUAUGUGUAAGUUCCCUGCCCAUGACAUAAAUUUUCUUCAGAUGGGACUACGGAGGCAGGGGAAUGAGAGUUGAGGUUGAUCUAAUCAAUUCAGCCUAAAUUACAGGUUCUUCUCACUAUAUAUCAGCAAGUUUUAUCAAUGGAUAAAAAUAGAUACUGCUACAAUGGGUAUACACGAUGUUAUGAUGAUGCACAUCAGAAGGAGUUUUGGCAUAAGUGAAGCAAGACAGAAGAUCAACUGCAGGAGAGUAAUGGGUAAGACCCAUAGCACAUAAUCAAGCAGACACCGAAGAAAUAUCAAAUAUUUACUGCAAAGUGUGAGAACAUUGUCGCAUGGGUAUUUAAGAAAACACAAGCAUAGCCAGGACAAGAAGCAACUCAGCUCAAAAGUAACCCAGUGCUGAAGGACAACCAGGUGAAUAGGGCUGGAGCUACAGCGACUGAAUAGACACUGGGAGACUGUGCUGUAUGCUAGCAACCUUUGCUUUGCUCUCUUUUUUAGUGUUCAACUCUGUAUCUUCAGCACAAUAAAAAACUGAGAACAAUG